AUCCAACUGACGAGUCCCAGAUAGGACGGAACGUACGUCAAAUUGCAU
rnacentral:hammerhead_ribozyme from 1 species